GCAUAUCAAUAAGCGGAGGAAAAGAAACCAACAGGGAUUGCCCUAGUAACGGCGAGUGAAGCGGCAACAGCUCAAAUUUGAAAUCUGGCCCCCGGGUCCGAGUUGUAAUUUGUAGAGGAUGCUUUUGGUGAGGUACCUUCCGAGUUCCCUGGAACGGGACGCCAUAGAGGGUGAGAGCCCCGUCUGGUCGGAUACCGAUCCUCUGUAAAGCUCCUUCGACGAGUCGAGUAGUUUGGGAAUGCUGCUCUAAAUGGGAGGUAUAUGUCUUCUAAAGCUAAAUAUAGGCCAGAGACCGAUAGCGCACAAGUAGAGUGAUCGAAAGAUGAAAAGCACUUUGAAAAGAGGGUUAAACAGUACGUGAAAUUGUUGAAAGGGAAGCGCUUGUGACCAGACUUGGGCCCGGUUAAUCAUCCAGCGUUCUCGCUGGUGCACUUGGCCGGCCCAGGCCAGCAUCAGUUCGGCGUGGGGGAUAAAGGCGGCGGGAAUGUGGCUCCUCCGGGAGUGUUAUAGCCCACCGUGUAAUACCCUGUGCUGGACUGAGGUUCGCGCAUUCGCAAGGAUGCUGGCGUAAUGGUCAUUAGCGACCCGUCUUGAAACACGGACCAAGGAGUCGUCCUCGUAUGCGAGUGUUCGGGUGUUAAACCCCUACGCGUAAUGAAAGUGAACGCAGGUGAGAGCUUCGGCGCAUCAUCGACCGAUCCUGAUGUUCUCGGAUGGAUUUGAGUAAGAGCAUACGGGGCCGGACCCGAAAGAAGGUGAACUAUGCCUGUAUAGGGUGAAGCCAGAGGAAACUCUGGUGGAGGCUCGCAGCGGUUCUGACGUGCAAAUCGAUCGUCAAAUAUGGGCAUGGGGGCGAAAGACUAAUCGAACCUUCUAGUAGCUGGUUUCCGCCGA
rnacentral:rRNA from 1 species